CUGUAUAAGCGGGGGUAGAUCUGUCCCAAGUCGCUGUCUGUUUCGAGCAGUCAGCUCGGCCGGACCAGGUCGAUUCGUCCAAUUUGAAAAUGGCUCAAAACUACAAGAGAAAGCGCGAAGACGGCAGUAGCAUUGAGAACGAGGUCCCUCUGCGUUACAUUUCGGGAUAAUUUUUUUGUCAUAUGAAUUCAUAUCCAGGGACAAGCUACAGACUAUGUUCGUUCGAGCUACGAAAACUGUCCCGGUCAAUCUGACGCGGACGUGGAGAAGUUUGCGGCAAAUGAUCGAGCCCCGGGUCCAGGUUCAAGUGCAGGUUUUGCCGAACCAGAAACCCAACGAGCAGGAGUACCGCAAGGUGCACAAUCCUCUCCACGCCAUGCACUGCAGCUACUCGCAGUUCCGAAAAAAGUCGCGCACAAGGUAUUUAUCGCCUGGGACAGCAGAUAGGCUGAGGACAUUUGCAACGCAGUUAUUGGGCGGUUCGAGCUCAGAACGCAGUGUCGUAGUGGUGUUUCGUCUCAAAAGCACGCGCCUCCUCCGGCGUGUUCUCUUGUGUGGCCUCCUUGCACGAAUACCGUACCACUGGUCUGCUUUGUCUUCAAACGCCACGGCAUGGGACUCCUAUAUGAUCCAACAUUUGUAUUGCGAGCCCCGAGUAUUGGAAUACCUUAAAGGCCGGGGCACUAAAGUGAAAAACGAUUUCUUCUG